rnacentral:misc_RNA from 1 species
AAGUCGUAACAAGGUUUCCGUAGGUGAACCUGCGGAAGGAUCAUUAACGUACAAUAAGCCUAUGCUCCGGGAGGAGUACGCUUUAGCGGGUGUGUUAGCGGCCACGGAGGCGGCCGUGUUAUCGCAGUUGGGAUGCCAGCACAGGGAAACCGGUGUGCUGAUCCCCCCUGUACGAGGCACGGAAGCAGUACUCAGCUUGCUGGGUACACUCUGGGAGGUGUGGGGUUCUACAAAAACCCCUUCACGCGCACAUGACUGAAUCCUUAUUCUACUCGUACCUCUCGUUCUCCUUCGGUAGGGCAACCUGCCGUUGGAACCUAUACAAACUCUUUUUUUGCAUCUAGCAUUACCUGUUCUGAUAAAAACAAUCGUUACAACUUUCAACAAUGGAUCUCUUGGCUCUG